UGAAGAAGAUGCAAUUGGCCCAAAAAAUCUUAAUAGGAAUGCAGUACCUACAUUGCAUCUGGUUCGCAGGUAUGAAAAAAUGUGAUGUCUACCCAAAGAUGUACUGAAUUACCCAUUUUAUUACUUAAGAACGAACAACCCUGUCCACAUUAUGAAAGCUUGCUAUUGGUCUACAGAAAUUUCAUCAAAAUCGGUCCAGCCGUUAAGGAAAAGUUCAAUUACAAACACACGAUGAGGCCCAACCCAAUUAUUUCAACCGGUGCGUCCGUACAAAAGUUGCUGCGUUAGCAAAUUUGGGUAAAGUCCUGCAAUCUUCACU